CCUACGGGAGGCAGCAGUUAGGAAUAUUCGGCAAUGGGGGCAACCCUGACCGAGCAAUGCCGCGUGAACGAAGAAGUAUUUCGAUAUGUAAAGUUCUGUUGUUGAUGAAGAACUAUAGUGAUAGGAAAUGAUCAUUAUUUGACGGUAAUCAACCAGAAAGGUCCGGCUAACUACGUGCCAGCAGCCGCGGUAAUACGUAGGGACCAAGCGUUAUCCGGAAUUAUUGGGCGUAAAGGGUGCGUAGGCGGCCAUGUAAGUCUAAGUUAAAAGCCCACAGCUUAACUGUGGAAGGUGCUUAGAAACUGUAUGGCUUGAAUUCAGAAGAGGCAAGUGGAAUUCUAUGUGGAGCGGUGGAAUGCGUAGAUAUAUGGAGGAACACCAGUGGCGAAGGCGGCUUGCUGGGCUGAUAUUGACGCUGAUGCACGAAAGCGUGGGGAGCAAACAGGAUUAGAUACCCUGGUAGUCCACGCCGUAAACGAUGAGUACUAAGUGUUGGAGAAAUUCAGUGCUGAACUUAACAGAUUAAGUACUCCGCCUGGGGAUUACGACCGCAAGGUUGAAACUCAAAGGAAUUGACGG
rnacentral:rRNA from 1 species